UUAAAGCAAAGAGGUCCCUGUUGUCCUGCUCUUUGUGAAAGGGGAAAGACCUGGAGCCUGUUGUCAUUGGAUUCUAUUCUUUUCUUUACAGAGUUCACAUCCAGGUAAAAGUCUGCUUGUUCUAAAAGAAAUUUGCACAGGUUUGCCCAGCGUUUAUAUAUUAAUAUUUGGGUGCCAAUACUAUGAAAGCACACUAAAUAAUCAUCUCAAGAAUCCUGUGCAAGAUAUCAGCAAUAUAAUCCUCCUUUUACAAAUAGUGAAACUGAGGCAUACAACAGCGAGGUCAUUUGCUGAAGACAAUGAAACCAGGAUUAGAACUCCAAUCCAUAGCAAAUUAAAUCAGCAGGAGUCUUUGCCUCUCUCUCAUGAGCACAAACUUACUUUACAUGCUGGAUCCUUAAAUAGCAACAGAUUUUGUCCACCACCACAAACAGUCAUUCAGGAAUGAAUGUUAACAAAAGUUCUAAACAGGUCACACCUGCAACAGUUCAGCCCUUCUAAGGACAAAUGACAAUAUGUGCCCUUGCUCUGGUUGAGACUCAAAUGUUUGUAGCAAUGUUCUGUUGAGUCAAAGCUGAGAAUGCUUCAACUGCUACCACUCUCAUCCAGAAGAUGGAAUGGAAGUUGGUUUAAAACAAGUUAAAAGCACAAUGGCAAAGAACUGUUCGUCCCUUGCUUCCAUUACGGUAAAGUUGAACCAAUAUGGCGACAGAAGACUACACUGGACGAAGCUGGUUGAAACACCUGAGUUCAGUGGAAAAAGUUAUUCCUUCCCUCUGAAUAUGGUGACUUGUUUUGAAUGUUGGUGGAAAUAAAUCUGUGAUGAACAUCACAGUGAAACCUGUAAACCUCUACCAAAGGAAUGCUUUUUCCCUUGCUCUUUUUAACAAUGGUCUUAAUAAAUCAGUAAGGAAAAGUGGUAGUGACUAAUUAGGAUAGGUGAGAGCACAGAUUUCUAUAUAUAUAUGUAUAUUUCUAUAUCAUUGCAGAUGGCAAAGAUUUCUACAACUCACAUAUCUUGAUGAUACAUGAAAGUACUUUUAUAAGCACGU